rnacentral:rRNA from 1 species
AGUGAACGCUGGCGGUAGGCCUAACACAUGCAAGUCGAACGGCAGCACAGUAAGAGCUUGCUCUUACGGGUGGCGAGUGGCGGACGGGUGAGGAAUACAUCGGAAUCUACUUUUUCGUGGGGGAUAACGUAGGGAAACUUACGCUAAUACCGCAUACGACCUACGGGUGAAAGCAGGGGAUCUUCGGACCUUGCGCGAUUGAAUGAGCCGAUGUCGGAUUAGCUAGUUGGCGGGGUAAAGGCCCACCAAGGCGACGAUCCGUAGCUGGUCUGAGAGGAUGAUCGGCCACACGGGAACUGGAACACGGUCCAAACUCCUACGGAAGGCAGCAGUGGGGAAUAUUGGACAAUGAGCGCAAGCCGGAUCCAGCCAUACCGCGUGGGGGAAGAAGGCCUUCGGUUUGUAAAGCCCGUUUGUAGGGAAAGAAAAGCAGCAGGGUAAAACCCCGCUGUUCUGACGGUACCCAAAGAAUAAGCACCGGCUAACUUCGUG